rnacentral:rRNA from 1 species
AUUGAACGCUGGCGGCAUGCUUUACACAUGCAAGUCGAACGGCAGCGCGGGCUUCGGCCUGGCGGCGAGUGGCGAACGGGUGAGUAGUACAUCGGAACGUGCCCAGUAGUGGGGGAUAGCUCGGCGAAAGCCGGAUUAAUACCGCAUACGACCUGAGGGUGAAAGCGGGGGAUCUUCGGACCUCGCGCUAUUGGAGCGGUCGAUGGCAGAUUAGCUAGUUGGUGGGGUAAAGGCCUACCAAGGCGACGAUCUGUAGCUGGUCUGAGAGGACGACCAGCCACACUGGGACUGAGACACGGCCCAGACUCCUACGGGAGGCAGCAGUGGGGAAUUUUGGACAAUGGGCGAAAGCCUGAUCCAGCAAUGCCGCGUGUGUGAUGAAGGCCUUCGGGUUGUAAAGCACUUUUGGCGGGAACGAAAAGGACUGUGCCAAUACCACGGUUCGAUGACGGUACCCGCAGAAUAAGCACCGGCUAACUACGUG